rnacentral:tRNA from 1 species
GCUCAUGUAGCUCAGGGGUAGAGCACGCCCUUGGUAAGGGCGAGGUCGGCGGUUCAAUUCCGCCUAUGAGCU